UACAUAAAAUAAAAAAUAUUUAGUAUUACUUUAAUAUUAAUUUAAAAAUUGGGUUGACAUUUUGCAAUAUUAUUCAAUAUUUGGUACCUAUCUACUUAAUUAUUACAUCAAAUAUCUUACCAUAGGAGUCUUAUUUUUCUAGGGCCACCAAGUUUCAUGCUAUAUCACUGAUUGAAUAAGUAUUUGAUUUGACAAAUAAAUUGCGAAUUGCAAAUAGAUUAGGUUUAUAAAAACCUGUGAAAGAAUGGAAGACGGAUAUCCCCCUCAUAAUGAAAAAGGUACUCCACCUCUUAUAGGUCCCAGGGUUACUAAGUUAAAUUCUACGCCACUUGGCGUUAAUGCAAUCACAUGCGAAAAUAUUAUUGAUGAAAAACCAGGUGAACUUAACACUCUUAGGUACCUUUUGCCCCAAAUCGUUGCAUCGGGGCACGAGUACAAGGUGUUGUUGUGAGCCGGCCGUCCUCAGCGUGGGCGCAGAUUGUUGCAUUGCGAACUUCUUAAGAUCGCCUUCGCUCCUAC